CGGGUGCACUGAUCCAGCCGGGCCUUUCCCUCUGUGGAACCCCAUGGCCUUCACUGGCUGUGGCGGGGAAACAGGACUUUUACUUUGAAAAAAUUAGAGUGCUCCAGGCAGGCCUAUGCUCGAAUACAUUAGCAUGGAAUAAUAGAAUAGGACGUGUGGUUCUAUUUUGUUGGUUUCUAGGACCGCCGUAAUGAUUAAUAGGGACAGUCGGGGGCAUCAGUAUUCAAUUGUCAGAGGUGAGAUUCUUGGAUCUAUUGAAGACUAACUACUGCGAAAGCAUUUGCCAAGGAUGUUUUCAUUGAUAAGGAACGAAAGUUAGGGGAUCGAAGACGAUCAGAUACCGUCGUAGUCUUAACUAUAAACUAUGCCGACUAGGGAUCGGACGAUGUUAUUCUUUGACGCGUUCGGCACCUUUCGAGAAAUCAAAGUGCUUGGGCUCCAGGGGGAGUAUGGUCGCAAGGCUGAAACUUAAAGAAAUUGACGGAAGGGCACCACCAGGGGUGGAACCUGCGGCUUAAUUUGACUCAACACGGGGAAACUCACCAGGUCCAGACACAGUGAGGAUUGACAGAUUGAGAGCUCUUUCUUGAUUCUGUGGGUGGUGGUGCAUGGCCGUUCUUAGUUGGUGGAGUGAUUUGUCUGCUUAAUUGCGAUAACGAACGAGACCUUAACCUGCUAAAUAGCCCGUACUGCUUUGGCAGUUCGCCGGCUUCUUAGAGGGACUAUCGG
rnacentral:rRNA from 1 species